GGCCCGGAGCUUUAGUAAGGAAAAUCGGCGACAUGAUCAUUGUGAACCACUCAGUAAGAGUAUUAUUGAAAUUUGACAAUAUAAAUGCUGUAAGAGAAAAUGUCAAACAUAUCAAUAAUGGGUUACAGAUGGUAAAAGACAAAUUGAUAAUCAGUGAGAUAUCCAAUGUGAGAUUAGAGAAGAAAUUAGAUGCUAUACAGACGAAGGUCACCAAAAUAGAAAAUAACUUCCUACAUAGCAAAAGCAAGAGAGGAGUAGGUAUCGCAAUAGCGAUCGGAUCGUUAGUAGGUCUUGGAGUAACAAAUAUUGGUUUGUAUGCAGAACUUCGCUCAAAUGUAAAUAAUCUACAAAACUCAGUGUCCAGAAUCGAUGUCUUACAAGAAGAAACAGAAGAUAUACAACUUACCAUAGAUGAGAUGAUUAAUAGCAUAGAAACUUUAAGUACAGAGAACUCUAAUUUGAAGGAAUCCCUGGAAAUUUUCAUGGUCUUGGAUCAGUUGCACAUUAAGAUAAAUGAACUAAAUGCUGAAAUGGAACAGUUAAUUCAAGACUUAGUUAUGGCUAAUGCUGGACAUGUUACAUACACAUUAUUUUCAAUAUCACAACUUCUAAACAUAACUCAACAAGCAAAAUAUGAGUGGAAUUUUCAACCUUUCUUUGAUUCAAAUAAUAUUGCUCUAUAUUAUCCCAUUUUUAAUUCAUUCAUAAAUGAUACUGGAGUACUCAUUGACAUACCAUUUUCAUCAGAAUUGAAAUAUCACAUGUAUAAUCUGAUUCCUUUCCCAAUGAAAUUUAAUAGUUCCAUUAUAACAGUUGAUACUGAUAUAACAUCUCCAACAAAUUAUAUCCUAUCCAUAAAUGGUUUGAAAGAAAGUGUUAUAGUAAAUGAUGAUCUAUUGCACUGUAAGAAAACUAACGUAGACCUGUACAUUUGCUCAGCUACUUAUUUUACUUUCAAUGAAGCAUUGAGUCACUCAUGUGCCGCAUCCUUGGUGAAAAAUAUAUCCAUUGUACGUACUUGUCAUUUUAAGGAAGAAACUCCCAUAACACGUCAUGAAACUAUCCAGGAAUCUCACUACUUAUAUUUUCCAAACAAGACAACUGUAUCAGUCAUAUGCCCAGGAUUUCAACCUCAGAUAGCAUCAAUAGAAGGCUUAUAUCGUGUACCAGAUCAAUGUGAACUUCAUAGCCCCACACUCACAACUGUAGCAAAUAGGAAAAAGACUAUUGUACUUAAUAGAGAAAAUGUUUUACAGGACAUUACUAUGAAAUUCCCAGACAGAGCUCCUCCUUUGAAAAUCAGAAAGAUUAACAAGAAAAGACUUGUAAAGCAAGUGUCAAAAACACACACAGGUACUAUGUGGUAUAUAAUAUAUGUACUUCCAUUUGUCUUGAUAGUCACAUUGAGCACAAUAUCAAUGAUACUUAUGUACAAGAAACUCAAGAAUUCAUCCAUCGAAAUGAAACACAUUUCCGAGCCGUAACCCUGUAAUAGGUAUGUAAAGAACAGCAAGCAUGAAAUACUGUAAAUAGAAUUUAUUGCAUAACAAUUUUGUCGGGACGACAAACGGUAGCUGCCGAGCCCUGUAAUAGGCACUACUUUGCAUGAAGAAAAGAAUAGAUAUAAGAGUAGAAUUAGAAGGAAA